rnacentral:rRNA from 1 species
UACGUAGGGACCAAGCGUUGUUCGGAUUUACUGGGCGUAAAGGGCGCGUAGGCGGCUUGACAAGUCACUUGUGAAAUCUCCGGGCUUAACUCGGAACGGUCAAGUGAAACUGUCGUGCUAGAGUGCAGAAGGGGCAAUCGGAAUUCUUGGUGUAGCGGUGAAAUGCGUAGAUAUCAAGAGGAACACCUGAGGUGAAGACGGGUUGCUGGGCUGACACUGACGCUGAGGCGCGAAAGCCAGGGGAGCAAACGGG